AUUGAACGCUGGCGGCAGGCCUAACACAUGCAAGUCGAACGGUAGCACAGAGAGCUUGCUCUCGGGUGACGAGUGGCGGACGGGUGAGUAACGUCUGGGAAACUGCCCGAUGGAGGGGGAUAACUACUGGAAACGGUAGCUAAUACCGCAUAACGCCGCAAGACCAAAGUGGGGGACCUUCGGGCCUCACACCAUCGGAUGUGCCCAGAUGGGAUUAGCUAGUAGGUGGGGUAAUGGCUCACCUAGGAGACGAUCCCUAGCUGGUCUGAGAGGAUGACCAGCCACACUGGAACUGAGACACGGUCCAGACUCCUACGGGAGGCAGCAGUGGGGAAUAUUGUACAAUGGGCGCAAGCCUGAUGCAGCCAUGCCGCGUGUAUGAAGAAGGCCUUCGGGUUGUAAAGUACUUUCAGCGGGGAGGAAGGCGGUGAAGUUAAUAACUUCACCGAUUGACGUUACCCGCAGAAGAAGCACCGGCUAACUCCGUGCCAGCAGCCGCCGUAA
rnacentral:rRNA from 1 species